UACGGAGGGUGCGAGCGUUGUCCGGAAUCACUGGGCGUAAAGGGCGCGUAGGUGGCAGCGUAAGCGUGUGGUGAAAGCUCGGGGCUCAACCCCGCGUCGGCCAUGCGAACUGCGUUGCUCGAGCACUGUAGAGGCAGACGGAAUUCCGGGUGUAGCGGUGGAAUGCGUAGAGAUCCGGAAGAACACCGGUGGCGAAGGCGGUCUGCUGGGCAGUUGCUGACACUGAGGCGCGACAGCGUGGGGAGCAAACAGGAUUAGAUACCCUUGUAGUCC
rnacentral:rRNA from 1 species